AUGGAAAAUACAAAAACAAAUAUGUGUGAUUUACAGUGGCGUGUAGGAAACUGGAGUGUGGAAUUGGCCUGCAGUUCUCUGUCUUCAGGCAGGAACGUGGUGGUCCAGGGUCAUGCAAAACUAGACCGCAGUGAAAUGCUCUGGAUGCAGGGGGCGCUGGGAAAACGCUGCCUUCGAGCUGCUGCUGGAUACGACACUGAAAUGUCUGAUGAAAUCAGAGUGGCGUUUUGUUCGGAGGGACAUCACUGGUUUACCCUGGAGGCUCAGCGAGGCGGUCGUGGCAUUGAAAAUGAGUCCCUUACCCUUAUUUCUGUAGGAGCAGCCAAUCAGAGUCUGCUAUUUCAAGCUAAGGGAUGUAGGGAAUGCCUGUGGGCCGCGGAGGCACGGCUCCAGCAGCUGGGGUCUCGGAUAAGGAGUAAACUGUUGGACAGAGUUCAGAGACUUCAGCAUCUACUGUUAACUUUCAGACGACAGGCAGGGGACAGCAUGUUCCUGCUGGAGCUGAGUGAGGGGCCGCUGUCUCUGACUCAGCAAGCCGAGACUCUGCUGCUUCAGAGAGCAGGAGUGCUGUGGAAAGCAUGGACCACCGGCCUGCUCCGACACACGCUCACACACAGCCUACCGCACACUCUCCAUGUCCUGCAUCUCAUAUCUCAACAGGUCCAACAAGAGCUCAGGAAACCCCUGGCUACCCUAGCUGGAGCAUACCACGAUGUGACAGGGGUGCGUUUGGACAUGGCGUGGCAGCAAGGAGUGCAGCUGUGGACCAGAGAACUGACGGAGCUUUUGCCUGCAAUACUUCACGAUCCUCAACUGAGGGCGCCAUCGCUGACCGCUUUGCAUGUUGCCAUUUUUGCAAUAGACAUGGUGGGCCAGCAGACCUUUCAGUGGAUGGAGGCCCGAUCGGCUGCCAUGCUAGUGGGUAUCAGAAGGCAGCUAGCAAUAAUGUAUAAGUUCUCCAAAAGUGAGGGUGAGGUGAUCUUUAGAGUGCCACUUCCUGUGGGCCCCUGGCUGAAGGUGGAGGAGGCAGGUGUAACUGAAGUUCUUCUGGAGGAGUUUGUCAUGAAGCCUCUACUGGCCUUGAAUUCUGUGAGUCCUACAGCAGAACUCUACCGGCUGAAGAGGAGGAUAAUGGACAGUCCCGUUAACUAUCAGGCAUUUCUAGUGGAAGAUGUCUAUUUGGUGUCAUUUGAUGGACAUCUGCUCAAACUCCCAGCUUCCUGUGACUUCAUCCUAGCAGCUGAUGUCAUCCAGCACACCUUCAGCAUUGUGCUCAAAUCCGACAGGUUCAAACGUCGCUCGCUUGUGGUGCAAAUGCAAAACACAAAGAUUGCAAUUCACCCAAAUGGAGAGGUGGAGGUUAAUUGCCAGGUUGCACACAUACCAUACACUAACCGUGAAGUGGCUAUCAGAAAGGAUGUGAAUUUAAUUGAGGUGUCCAAUGAGAGAGGACUUCGGGUAUCAUGUGACCCUCAGCUAGAAGUUUGUAGUGUGAUCCUAGAUGGAUGGCUUCAUGGUGUGUCCACUGGUCUUUUAGGAACCAAUGAUAAUGAGGCAGCUAACGAGCUUCUUCUGCCAGAUGGCUCUCACACAAACAGUGUGCUUCAGUUUACUCACAGCUGGCAGGUGGAUUCAGAAUGUGUCAGCAGGAAAGCUGAAGUCUGUCAGAAUGGCACUGCUGACUCCCUGUCGUGUACAUUUCUGUUCUCCUCUGCAAAUUCUCCUCUGAGCCCCUGUUUCAGAGUGGUGGACCCUGUGCAGUUCAUGAUGAAGUGUGAAGGACUGGAGUGUGUAUGUGAUGAGCGUGCAGAGGUUUCCAGACCAUCCUUUUGCACAUUGGCCUCUGCCUAUAUCCAUCAAUGCCAUAGAAACUACGUUCCACUGGAGCUGCCAGUGCAGUGCGUGUAAGGGUGGUGUCCGGAUUACUCCAGUGAAGACAUGAAGCAUCAGCUGACCUGUUUGAAAAUUAACAGUAACAUGUACAAAAUCAUUACUAUAAGUAUCUUUAUUACUAAUACAGUUGUUAUUAUGUACUAUGACAAACUGUUUUUUUUUAUAUAUAUUUUUGGUGCCUUUUUUGCAAUAUGCAGCAUUUUAUGUAACCAAGAAAAUAGAAUAUUUUAUUAAUGAUAGUAAAUAAAUGUUAAAAAAUUCUAAAUGUAUUUGUAAAGUUAGAAAAUAAUACAUCAGUAUAAUUUAAUAUUUUUAUUGUUUUUAUUUAAUCUUUUUAGCAUAUUACAUGUUAGAUAACUGUGUUAAUUACUAGAGACUAGAGUAAUAACAACAACUAGCAUAUGUCUAAUUACAAGCAGCGCAACAGAGUAAUUACACAAGUAUUUUUUACUUUGAAGGUAUAUUUGCCACAUUCAUUUCAAUAUACGGAAGCUAUGUUUUUCUAAAUAAUUACUUAGAAAAUAAAUCAAAAGAUGAAGCAGUUUGGACACUACACAACUUCACUGUGUUAUGGAUGUGCAUUUAAAAAAGUUGAUCUUAAUGAUCUAUCUAUGAUAACGUAUAAUAAUGAAUAAUGUGCAUUAGCUCUCUACAUUGUAUUUGAUUCCCUGCCAAUAAAAGCUUCAUAGAUGUUUCUGUGUUAAAGUGAUGGUAUCGAAACAAGUAGUACAGACAGCAUGUGGGAGACGUUUGGGGGAUGCAUGACAGGUUUUCCAGACAUGAAGGAUGUUAGAAAUGUUCCUCUUACUCUGACUGGUGGUCUUGUGAGGAUCAUAUAAGAUCAGAGCCAUGUCAAGUCACUAUAAAAACUCAAAUGUGCGUUUUUGCAGAGGAACACCAUAACAGAUAUUUAUGGUCCUCAAGACGAUGGAUCUGUGGACUAGUUCUAUCAUGCUGCAGAUAAUUCAUGUGAAAGGUUAUUUUUAAACAUUACAUAGUUUGUAAAAGGCUCAUGGAUGGGUGGUCGUAAAUAUUCACAGUGAAAGUGCACUUUUUUCAGGAGUUCAUAAAAAGUUUAUGAAAAACUGAUAGACGAUAAAUUGAAUAAGCAUUUUACCGUACCAUCCUCCCUUUCGUCGAUGCUCUCUCCAAGCCUUAAAAAAAAAAAAAAAAAAAAAAAAAAACUUUAUUCAAGUCCACUUUUGGUAGUUCUUUUUAACUAAAAAUUAAGAGUGUAUACUUUGAACCUACUUUUUUUUUUUCUCAGAGAUAUACCAAAAAAAAAUUAUACUUAAGUGCACCUGGCUUAUACUGAUAAUAUACUGAUUGUAUAUUAUACUGAUAUGCAAAAUAUUUAGAUUCUAUGCAUACUUUGCUUAUAGUUAUUAUUACUCUUUUUAGAUAAUAUUCUAUUAAAUAAGUAUACUGGCUUCUUUUAGGUAGUUGUCCAGCAAAUGUUUUAUAUACUAUCUUGAGAAGUCAGAUUUGAGAUGGAAUGGCUUAGAGUAAAUGAUUCAUGGGUGAAACGGAACCUGGUCUUUUUUGUACACAAUGCUAAUAACACACACAUACAUCCACUGGUAGGA
rnacentral:lncRNA from 12 species